rnacentral:rRNA from 1 species
AGAGUUUGAUCCUGGCUCAGGAUGAACGCUAGCGGCAGGCUUAACACAUGCAAGUCGAGGGGUAUAAGUCUUCGGAUUUAGAGACCGGCGCACGGGUGCGUAACGCGUAUGCAAUCUACCUUUUACAGAGGGAUAGCCCAGAGAAAUUUGGAUUAAUACCUCAUAGUAUAUAGAGUUGGCAUCAACACUAUAUUAAAGUCACAACGGUAAAAGAUGAGCAUGCGUCCCAUUAGCUUGUUGGUAAGGUAACGGCUUACCAAGGCUACGAUGGGUAGGGGUCCUGAGAGGGAGAUCCCCCACACUGGUACUGAGACACGGACCAGACUCCUACGGGAGGCAGCAGUGAGGAAUAUUGGUCAAUGGACGCAAGUCUGAACCAGCCAUGCCGCGUGCAGGAUGACGGUCCUAUGGAUUGUAAACUGCUUUUGCACAGGAAGAAACAACUCUACGUGUAGAGUCUUGACGGUACUGUGAGAAUAAGGAUCGGCUAACUCCGUGCCAGCAGCCGCGGUAAUACGGAGGAUCCAAGCGUUAUCCGGAAUCAUUGGGUUUAAAGGGUCCGUAGGCGGUUUAGUAAGUCAGUGGUGAAAGCCCAUCGCUCAACGGUGGAACGGCCAUUGAUACUGCUAAACUUGAAUUAUUAGGAAGUAACUAGAAUAUGUAGUGUAGCGGUGAAAUGCUUAGAGAUUACAUGGAAUACCAAUUGCGAAGGCAGGUUACUACUAAUGGAUUGACGCUGAUGGACGAAAGCGUGGGUAGCGAACAGGAUUAGAUACCCUGGUAGUCCACGCCGUAAACGAUGGAUACUAGCUGUUGGAAGCAAUUUCAGUGGCUAAGCGAAAGUGAUAAGUAUCCCACCUGGGGAGUACGUUCGCAAGAAUGAAACUCAAAGGAAUUGACGGGGGCCCGCACAAGCGGUGGAGCAUGUGGUUUAAUUCGAUGAUACGCGAGGAACCUUACCAAGGCUUAAAUGUAGAUUGACCGGUUUGGAAACAGACUUUUCGCAAGACAAUUUACAAGGUGCUGCAUGGUUGUCGUCAGCUCGUGCCGUGAGGUGUCAGGUUAAGUCCUAUAACGAGCGCAACCCCUGUUGUUAGUUGCCAGCGAGUCAUGUCGGGAACUCUAACAAGACUGCCAGUGUAAACUGUGAGGAAGGUGGGGAUGACGUCAAAUCAUCACGGCCCUUACGCCUUGGGCUACACACGUGCUACAAUGGCCGGUACAGAGAGCAGCCACUGGGCGACCAGGAGCGAAUCUACAAAACCGGUCACAGUUCGGAUCGGAGUCUGCAACUCGACUCCGUGAAGCUGGAAUCGCUAGUAAUCGGAUAUCAGCCAUGAUCCGGUGAAUACGUUCCCGGGCCUUGUACACACCGCCCGUCAAGCCAUGGAAGCUGGGGGUGCCUGAAGUCGGUGACCGCAAGGAGCUGCCUAGGGUAAAACUGGUAACUAGGGCUAAGUCGUAACAAGGUA